UGGGGAAUAUUGGACAAUGGGGGCAACCCUGAUCCAGCAAUGCCGCGUGUGUGAAGAAGGCCUUCGGAUUGUAAAGCACUUUCGACGGGGACGAUGAUGACGGUACCCGUAGAAGAAGCCCCGGCUAACUUCGUGCCAGCAGCCGCGGUAAUACGAAGGGGGCUAGCGUUGCUCGGAAUGACUGGGCGUAAAGGGCGUGUAGGCGGUUUACACAGUCAGAUGUGAAAUCCCCGGGCUUAACCUGGGAGCUGCAUUUGAUACGUGUAGACUAGAGUGUGAGAGAGGGUUGUGGAAUUCCCAGUGUAGAGGUGAAAUUCGUAGAUAUUGGGAAGAACACCGGUGGCGAAGGCGGCAACCUGGCUCAUGACUGACGCUGAGGCGCGAAAGCGUGGGGAGCAAACAGGAUUAGAUACCCUGGUAGUCCACGCUGUAAACGAUGUGUGCUAGAUGUUGGGUAACUUUGUUAUUCAGUGUCGCAGUUAACGCGUUAAGCACACCGCCUGGGGAGUACGGCCGCAAGGUUGAAACUCUAAAGUGAAUUGAC
rnacentral:rRNA from 1 species